GGGUUGUGAGGUUAAGCGACUAAGCGUACACGGUGGAUGCCCUGGCAGUCAGAGGCGAUGAAGGGCGUGCUAAUCUGCGAUAAGCGCCGGUAAGGUGAUAUGAACCGUUAUAACCGGCGAUACCCGAAUGGGGAAACCCAGUGUGAUUCGUCACACUAUCAUUAACUGAAUCCAUAGGUUAAUGAGGCGAACCGGGGGAACUGAAACAUCUAAGUACCCCGAGGAAAAGAAAUCAACCGAGAUUCCCCCAGUAGCGGCGAGCGAACGGGGAGGAGCCCAGAGCCUGAAUCAGCAUGUGUGUUAGUGGAAGCGUCUGGAAAGGCGCGCGAUACAGGGUGACAGCCCCGUACACAAAAGCGCAUGUGCUGUGAGCUCGAUGAGUAGGGCGGGACACGUGGUAUCCUGUCUGAAUAUGGGGGGACCAUCCUCCAAGGCUAAAUACUCCUGACUGACCGAUAGUGAACCAGUACCGUGAGGGAAAGGCGAAAAGAACCCCGGCGAGGGGAGUGAAAAAGAACCUGAAACCGUGUACGUACAAGCAGUGGGAGCACCCUUUGGGGUGUGACUGCGUACCUUUUGUAUAAUGGGUCAGCGACUUAUAUUCUGUAGCAAGGUUAACCGUAUAGGGGAGCCGGAGGGAAACCGAGUCUUAACCGGGCGUUAAGUUGCAGGGUAUAGACCCGAAACCCGGUGAUCUAGCCAUGGGCAGGUUGAAGGUUGGGUAACACUAACUGGAGGACCGAACCGACUAAUGUUGAAAAAUUAGCGGAUGACCUGUGGCUGGGGGUGAAAGGCCAAUCAAACCGGGAGAUAGCUGGUUCUCCCCGAAAGCUAUUUAGGUAGCGCCUCGUGAAUUCAUCUCCGGGGGUAGAGCACUGUUUCGGCUAGGGGGCCAUCCCGGCUUACCAACCCGAUGCAAACUGCGAAUACCGGAGAAUGUUAUCACGGGAGACACACGGCGGGUGCUAACGUCCGUCGUGAAGAGGGAAACAACCCAGACCGCCAGCUAAGGUCCCAAAGUCAUGGUUAAGUGGGAAACGAUGUGGGAAGGCCCAGACAGCCAGGAUGUUGGCUUAGAAGCAGCCAUCAUUUAAAGAAAGCGUAAUAGCUCACUGGUCGAGUCGGCCUGCGCGGAAGAUGUAACGGGGCUAAACCAUGCACCGAAGCUGCGGCAGCGACACUGUGUGUUGUUGGGUAGGGGAGCGUUCUGUAAGCCUGCGAAGGUGGCCUGUGAGGGUUGCUGGAGGUAUCAGAAGUGCGAAUGCUGACAUAAGUAACGAUAAAGCGGGUGAAAAGCCCGCUCGCCGGAAGACCAAGGGUUCCUGUCCAACGUUAAUCGGGGCAGGGUGAGUCGACCCCUAAGGCGAGGCCGAAAGGCGUAGUCGAUGGGAAACGGGUUAAUAUUCCCGUACUUGGUGUUACUGCGAAGGGGGGACGGAGAAGGCUAUGUUGGCCGGGCGACGGUUGUCCCGGUUUAAGCGUGUAGGCUGGUUUUCCAGGCAAAUCCGGAAAAUCAAGGCUGAGGCGUGAUGACGAGGCACUACGGUGCUGAAGCAACAAAUGCCCUGCUUCCAGGAAAAGCCUCUAAGCAUCAGGUAACAUCAAAUCGUACCCCAAACCGACACAGGUGGUCAGGUAGAGAAUACCAAGGCGCUUGAGAGAACUCGGGUGAAGGAACUAGGCAAAAUGGUGCCGUAACUUCGGGAGAAGGCACGCUGACACGUAGGUGAAGUGAUUUACUCACGGAGCUGAAGUCAGUCGAAGAUACCAGCUGGCUGCAACUGUUUAUUAAAAACACAGCACUGUGCAAACACGAAAGUGGACGUAUACGGUGUGACGCCUGCCCGGUGCCGGAAGGUUAAUUGAUGGGGUCAGCGCAAGCGAAGCUCCUGAUCGAAGCCCCGGUAAACGGCGGCCGUAACUAUAACGGUCCUAAGGUAGCGAAAUUCCUUGUCGGGUAAGUUCCGACCUGCACGAAUGGCGUAAUGAUGGCCAGGCUGUCUCCACCCGAGACUCAGUGAAAUUGAACUCGCUGUGAAGAUGCAGUGUACCCGCGGCAAGACGGAAAGACCCCGUGAACCUUUACUAUAGCUUGACACUGAACAUUGAGCCUUGAUGUGUAGGAUAGGUGGGAGGCUUUGAAGUGUGGACGCCAGUCUGCAUGGAGCCGACCUUGAAAUACCACCCUUUAAUGUUUGAUGUUCUAACGUGGACCCGUAAUCCGGGUUGCGGACAGUGUCUGGUGGGUAGUUUGACUGGGGCGGUCUCCUCCUAAAGAGUAACGGAGGAGCACGAAGGUUGGCUAAUCCUGGUCGGACAUCAGGAGGUUAGUGCAAUGGCAUAAGCCAGCUUGACUGCGAGCGUGACGGCGCGAGCAGGUGCGAAAGCAGGUCAUAGUGAUCCGGUGGUUCUGAAUGGAAGGGCCAUCGCUCAACGGAUAAAAGGUACUCCGGGGAUAACAGGCUGAUACCGCCCAAGAGUUCAUAUCGACGGCGGUGUUUGGCACCUCGAUGUCGGCUCAUCACAUCCUGGGGCUGAAGUAGGUCCCAAGGGUAUGGCUGUUCGCCAUUUAAAGUGGUACGCGAGCUGGGUUUAGAACGUCGUGAGACAGUUCGGUCCCUAUCUGCCGUGGGCGCUGGAGAACUGAGGGGGGCUGCUCCUAGUACGAGAGGACCGGAGUGGACGCAUCACUGGUGUUCGGGUUGUCAUGCCAAUGGCACUGCCCGGUAGCUAAAUGCGGAAGAGAUAAGUGCUGAAAGCAUCUAAGCACGAAACUUGCCCCGAGAUGAGUUCUCCCUGAGACUUAGAGUCUCCUGAAGGAACGUUGAAGACGACGACGUUGAUAGGCCGGGUGUGUAAGCGCAGCGAUGCGUUGAGCUAACCGGUACUAAUGAGCCGUGAGGCUUAACCUUACAACGCCGAAG
rnacentral:rRNA from 1 species